UACGUAGGGUGCAGGCGUUAUUCGGAUUUACUGGGCUUAAAGAGUUCGUAGGCGGUUCGGUAAGUGAGGUGUGAAAGCCCUCGGCUCAACCGAGGAAUUGCGCUUCAAACUGCCGGGCUCGAGGGAGAUAGAGGUGAGCGGAACUGAUGGUGGAGCGGUGAAAUGCGUUGAUAUCAUCAGGAACACCAGAGGCGAAGGCGGCUCACUGGGUCUCUUCUGACGCUGAGGAACGAAAGCUAGGGGAGCAAACGGG
rnacentral:rRNA from 1 species